ACAGCAAACAAAACUUACUCUCAGGAGUUCAGUUGGUGUAGUCUAGAAUUAAUAGUAAGGAUUAACUUUAACAUCUUAAAUUUUUGCUUGAACCUGCUGUACAAAACUACCUUGGUGGUUGUUACGUUUAUACAUAAUUACAAUUUGUUCUUAUCAACGAGGUUUUCUACUCAUGAUAAAAAUGUCAGUUUCUCCUACAAACCUUAUAAUCAACUACCUUCCACAAAAUUUAGCGGAUGAUGGUUUGAAGAAUAUUUUCUCUCAGAUUGGGGUUGUUGAAAGCUGCAAAAUAAUGAGAGAUUUCAAAACUGGUUACAGCUAUGGAUUUGCUUUUGUCAGUUAUGUGACUCCAGAAGAUGCUCAGAAAGCCAUUCAACAACUUAAUGGUUACCAGAUUGGUAGCAAACAUAUCAAAGUUUCAUAUGCUCGCCCAUCAGGCGAGAACAUCAAGGAUACCAACCUGUAUGUCACUAACUUACCCAGAGACAUUACAGAAUACAAUCUUAAGAAAAUGUUUGAGGAUUUUGGAGAAAUUGUUCAGAUGAACUUGUUAAAAGACAAGGAAACAGGUAGUUCCCGAGGUGUGGCUUUUGUUAGGUACAAUCAGAGGUGUGAGGCGCAGAUGGCUAUCAGCCAGCUGGAUGGGCAGACUCUACCUGGCAGUUCUGCGCCACUGAGUGUACGAGUGGCCCAGGACCAUGGCAAGCAGAAGGCCCACUACUACGCAGGUUGGCAGGCCGGGUUACGGCAGAAUCAUCAGCAAGUCAGUUUGUUUGGUCCUCAUCCAUCCUUUAUGAGCCGUUUCAACUCUCUUAGAUGGCAUACAAGGCCUUACCCAAACACCAAGAUCGAGAGAGAGAAGUUGGUGGUGAAUAAGGUUAAGAGAUUCCAACCAUACUGGCCGUACUCACAGCAGACUGGCUCUCCAUCGCACCAGACUGAUAGCAUGAGGGCUAACUCAGUUUUCUCACAACAACCCGCUGUGUUUCCUACCACAUCGCUUCAGACCGCCAACAUGGGGGCUAAGUUUGGGUCAAUGCAGUGUGCAGGGGUUAGGCGGUUUAUGCCUACAUCCAAGAUCGGAGAGAGAGCAGUUGGUGGUGAAUAAGGUUAAGAGAUUCCAACCAUACUGGCCGUACUCACAGCAGACUGGCUCUUCAUCGCACCAGACUGAUAGCAUGAGGAUGAUAGCUAACUCAGUUUUCUCACAACAACCCGCUGUGUUUCCUACUACAUCGCUUCAGACCGGCAACAUGGGGGCUAAGUUUGGGUCAAUGCGGUGUAUAUGUGGAGGGGUUAGGUGGUCUAUGCCUACAUGUUAUGACUUCUAAGUGUGGAGGAGGAAGUAAACAUUUUAUACAUUAAUUUAAUUCAACAUUUGUUUAAAGUUCCGUUUAUCUCAAAGUUUUAACAAUUAGUAUAAAGUAAGAUGUUCUAAUAUGAUCAUAAAACUACAUUUAGUAAGUAAGUAUUUGACAAGAAAAAUACACUCCAACAUAGUUUAGUAUCCUGUUUUCCUUUGUGUAGUAUGUAAGAAAAUAUUGUUUUUGUUACAAUUUAAUUAUGAAAGGAAAUGUUUUGUAAUAAUUUUUAAUAUGUUAAUCUCAGUGUACUUUCCUAAUGGCAGUAUUUUUGUCACAAAAUAAACUGUUUUCAUGCUAUAAAAUA
rnacentral:misc_RNA from 1 species